rnacentral:rRNA from 1 species
CCUGGUUGAUCCUGCCAGUAGUCAUAUGCUUGUCUCAAAGAUUAAGCCAUGCAAGUCUAAGUACGAGCUCUCGUACAGUGAAACUGCGAAUGGCUCAUUAAAUCAGUUAUGGUUCAUUUGAUCGUACAGUUUACUUGGAUAACUGUGGUAAUUCUAGAGCUAAUACAUGCGAGAAGCGCCGACCUCGCGGGAGGCGUGCAUUUAUCAGACCAAAAACCGGCCGCGUCUUCGGGCGCGUUCGCCUUGGUGACUCUGGAUAACUUUGCGGAUCGCACGGUCUAGCACCGGCGACGGAUCAUUCAAGUGUCUGCCCUAUCAACUUUCGUCGGUACGGUAUUUGCCUACCGAGGUUCUUACGGGUGACGGGGAAUCAGGGUUCGAUUCCGGAGAGGGAGCCUGAGAAACGGCUACCACAUCCAAGGAAGGCAGCAGGCGCGCAAAUUACCCAUUCCCGACGCGGGGAGGUAGUGACGAAGAAUAACAAUGCAGGACUCGUUCGAGGCCCUGUAAUUGGAAUGAGUACACUUUAAAAGCUUUAACGAGUAUCCAUUGGAGGGCAAGUCUGGUGCCAGCAGCCGCGGUAAUUCCAGCUCCAAAAGUAUAUAUUUAAGUUGUUGCGGUUAAAAAGCUCGUAGUUGGAUUUUGGGCGCAGGCGGCCGGUCCGUCGCAAGGCGUGUACUGGACGUCCUGGCCUUCCCUCCGGUUCUCCGCCGGUGCUCUUGACUGAGUGUCGGCGGCGGCCGGAACGUUUACUUUGAAAAAAUUAGAGUGUUCAAAGCAGGCUCUCGAGCCUGGAUAAUGGUGCAUGGAAUAAUGGAAUAGGACCUCGGUUCUAUUUUGUUGGUUUUCGGAGCGCGAGGUAAUGAUUAAGAGGGACAGACGGGGGCAUUCGUACUGUGCCGUUAGAGGUGAAAUUCUUGGAUCGGCGCAAGACGAACGACUGCGAAAGCAUUUGCCAAGAAUGUUUUCUUUAAUCAAGAGCGAAAGUCAGAGGUUCGAAGACGAUCAGAUACCGUCCUAGUUCUGACUA